GAUGAACGCUGGCGGCGUGCCUAAUACAUGCAAGUCGAGCGAACGGACGAGAAGCUUGCUUCUCUGAUGUUAGCGGCGGCCGGGUGAGUAACACGUGGAUAACCUACCUAUAAGACUGGGAUAACUUCGGGAAACCGGAGCUAAUACCGGAUGAUAUUUUGAACCGCAUGGUUCAAAAGUGAAAGACGGUCUUGCUGUCACUUAUAGAUGGAUCCGCGCUGCAUUAGCUAGUUGGUAAGGUAACGGCUUACCAAGGCAACGAUGCAUAGCCGACCUGAGAGGGUGAUCGGCCACACUGGAACUGAGACACGGUCCAGACUCCUACGGGAGGCAGCAGUAGGGAAUCUUCCGCAAUGGGCGAAAGCAUGACGGAGCAACGCCGCGUGAGUGAUGAAGGUCUUCGGAUCGUAAAACUCUGUUAUUAGGGAAGAACAUAUGUGUAAGUAACUGUGCACAUCUUGACGGUACCUAAUCAGAAAGCCACGGCUAACUACGUG
rnacentral:rRNA from 1 species